rnacentral:tRNA from 1 species
GCGCACCCGUAGCUCAGCUGGAUAGAGCACCAGACUACGAAUCUGGGGGUCAGAGGUUCGAAUCCUUUCGGGCGCGCCA